rnacentral:rRNA from 1 species
AUUGAACGCUGGCGGGAUGCCUUACACAUGCAUGUCGAGCGGAGCGGCGGACGGGUGAGUAAUGUCUAGGAAUCUGCCUGGUAGUGGGGGAUAACUUCCGGAAACGGGCGCUAAUACCGCAUACUAUCAGAUGAGCCUAUGUCGGAUUAGCUAGUUGGUGGGGUAACGGCCUACCAAGGCGACGAUCCGUCACUGGUCUGAGAGGAUGACCAGCCACAAGGGAACUGAGACACGGGCCAGACUCCUACGGGAGGCAGCAGUGGGGAAUAUGGGACAAGGGGCGAAAGCCUGAUCCAGCCAUGCCGCGUGUGUGAAGAAGGUCUUCGGAUUGGAAAGCACUUUAGGUUGGGAGGCGGUACCAACAGAAUAAGCACCGGCUAACUCCGUGCCAGCAGCCGCGGUAAUAC